rnacentral:rRNA from 1 species
CAAGUCGAACGCGAAAGUUUCCUUCGGGAAAUAAGUAGAGUGGCGCACGGGUGAGUAACACGUAGGUAAUCUACCUUCGGGUGGGGAAUAACCCAGGGAAACUUGGGCUAACACCGCAUGAUGCAGCGGCACCACAUGGUGACAGUUGUUAAAGCGGGGGAUUUUCGGACCUCGCGCCUGAAGAGGAGCCUGCGGCGGAUUAGCUAGUUGGUGAGGUAACGGCUCACCAAGGUGACGAUCCGUAGCCGGCCUGAGAGGGCGGUCGGCCACACUGACACUGACAUACGGGUCAGACUCCUACGGGAGGCAGCAGUCGGGAAUUUUGGGCAAUGGGCGAAAGCCUGACCCAGCAACGCCGCGUGAAGGAUGAAAUCCCUCGGGAUGUAAACUUCGCAAGAAUGGGAAGAAUUAGUAGGGGUUAAUACCCCCUAUGAUGACGGUACCAUUCGUAAGCUCCGGCUAACUCCGUGCCAGCAGCCGCGGUAAUACGGGGGGAGCAAGCGUUGUUCGGAUUUACUGGGCGUAAAGGGCGCGUANGCGGCCAGCGCAAGUCAGUUGUGAAAUCUCCGGGCUUAACUCGGAAAGGUCAACUGAUACUGCGCGGCUAGAGUGCGGAAGGGGCAACUGGAAUUCUCGGUGUAGCGGUGAAAUGCGUAGAUAUCGAGAGGAACACCCGCGGCGAAGGCGGGUUGCUGGGCCGACACUGACGCUGAGUGCGCGAAAGCCAGGGGAGCGAACGGGAUUAGAUACCCCGGUAGUCCUGGCCUUAAACGAUGGAUGCUUGGUGUCUGGGGUUUUAUA